UACGUAGGGGGCAAGCGUUAUCCGGAUUCACUGGGUGUAAAGGGAGCGUAGACGGCGACGCAAGUCUGGAGUGAAAGCCCGGGGCCCAACCCCGGGACUGCUCUGGAAACUGCGGCGCUGGAGUACGGGAGGGGCAGGCGGAAUUCCUGGUGUAGCGGUGAAAUGCGUAGAUAUCAGGAGGAACACCGGCGGCGAAGGCGGCCUGCUGGACUGUGACUGACGUUGAGGCUCGAGAGCGUGGGGAGCAAACAGG
rnacentral:rRNA from 1 species